UACGGAGGGAGCUAGCGUUAUUCGGAAUUACUGGGCGUAAAGCGCACGUAUGCGGCUUUGUAAGUUAGGGGUGAAAGCCUGGAGCUCAACUCCAGAACUGCCUUUAAGACUGCAUCGCUUGAAUCCAGGAGAGGUGAGUGGAAUUCCGAGUGUAGAGGUGAAAUUCGUAGAUAUUCGGAAGAACACCAGUGGCGAAGGCGGCUCACUGGACUGGUAUUGACGCUGAGGUGCGAAAGCGUGGGGAGCAAACAGG
rnacentral:rRNA from 1 species